rnacentral:rRNA from 1 species
CAGGGAUUGCCCUAGUAACGGCGAGUGAAGCGGCAAAAGCUCAGAUUUGAAAUCUGGUGUUGAUCAAACAUCCGAGUUGUAAUCUGUAGAGAGGUACUUCCAAUGUAAGAAUUGGCCUAAGUUUCUUGGAACAGGACGUCAUAGAGGGUGAGAACCCCGUCUUUGGUCUUUUCUUUCAUUGAUAUAAGUCUUCUUCAAUGAGUCGAGUUGUUUGGGAAUGCAGCUCUAAAUGGGUGGUAAAUUCCAUCUAAAGCUAAAUAUUGGCAAGAGACCGAUAGCGCACAAGUAGAGUAAUCGAAAGAUGAAAAGAACUCUGGACAGAGAGUUAAAUAGUACGUGAAAUUGUUGAAAGGGAAGCACUUGCUACCAGACGCAUGGGCAGUUAAUCAGCCUACAUUUAUGUAGGUGCACUUGACUGUUCGUGGGUCAGCAUCAGUUUGGUCAAUGAGAAAAAUACUUGAGGAAUGUGGCUUCCUUCGGGAAGUGUUAUAGCCUCUUGUAAGUAUCAGCGAUUAGACUGAGGACCGCACAAUGUGAGGAUGCUGGCAUAAUGGUCGUAAGUGACCCGUCUUGAAACACGGACCAAGGAGUCUAACAUCUAUGCGAGUGUUUGGGUUAAAAAACCCUCAUGCGAAAUGAAAGUGAAUGCAGAUGGUAGGCGUAAGCUGCCCCAUCGACCGAUCCUGAUGUUCUCGGAUGGAUUUGAGUAUGAGCAUAGAUGUUGGGACCCGAAAGAUGGUGAACUAUGCCUGAAUAGGGUGAAGCCAGAGGAAACUCUGGUGGAGGCUCGCAGCGGUUCUGACGUGCAAAUCGAUCGUCAAAUUUGGGUAUAGGGGCGAAAGACCAAUCGAACCAUCUAG